rnacentral:rRNA from 1 species
CAGCAGCCGCGGGAAUACGUAGGUGGCAAGCGUUGUCCGGAAUUAUUGGGCGUAAAGCGUGCGCAGGCGGUUCUAUAAGACAGAUGUGAAAUCCCCGGGCUCAACCUGGGAACUGCAUUUGUGACUGUAGAGCUGGAGUGCGGCAGAGGGGGAUGGAAUUCCGCGUGUAGCAGUGAAAUGCGUAGAUAUGCGGAGGAACACCGAUGGCGAAGGCAAUCCCCUGGGCCUGCACUGACGCUCAUGCACGAAAGCGUGGGGAGCAAACAGGAUUAGAGACCCCAGUAGUCCCUGUCUCUUAUAC